CAGUUUCAGAGGUUUAAUUUAUUAUUUAUCUGGCAGGAAACAUGACGGUGUGCAGUCAGACCUGGUGCUAGAGGAGCCGAAAGUUCUACAUCUUGAUCUGAAGGCAACAGAAGAUUGUGUGUCAUACUGGGCAUAGCUUGAACAUAGGAGACCUCAAAGCCCACCCCCACAGUGGCCUGAGACAGAGAUCUUCGAGCUCAAGGUGUCUGGUGGACUGAGAAAGGAGGAGGAAGAGACUAAGAGCUUCAGUAUCUCCUUCAGGGCACUCCAAAGGUCUGUCCAGUAAGCUUUACCUCUUAGAGGUUCAUCAUUGCCCCACAGCAUGGAUCUGAAGACCAAGCCUUUAUCAUGGGCUAUGGGGGAAUAUUCCAGAUCUGAAUGAACCACAACAAGUGGUACAGACAUGGAGAUAGGGAAUUAAUGGACAUCAUGAUUAAGUUACAGAAACCACUCUAAUACCUCAAAAUAAGAAGUUCAUCCCAAGGAAAUAGUUCAUUGGCUAUGGAAGAAUUGAGAAACUCAACAGAAGCCACCCAGAGAUGGAUAAGUGCUGAAAGAGGCAGUUCUGAAGUGUGGCCUGUUUACACCACCCGGAUAUCAAAUUGACUUGCUAAUGGUAACUCUUCCUUGGUAUCCAUGGGUUACUGUGUCAUGUGAUUUGACAUCGAGUACAGACAGCGCUGAUUAGGAGCAUCCAGCUCUGUCCGACUCCGUGCAUCACUGAACCAUCUGGUCAUUUAUUCACUAAUAAGCCCCUAAUGGCCCAAAUAUUCACCGGCCUGUCAUUGUGACAUGGCAUAAAAUGCCUACAUCUUUCA